rnacentral:rRNA from 1 species
AGUGAACGCUGGCGGUAGGCUUAACACAUGCAAGUCGAAGGGCAGGCCAGUCAUAGCUUGCUUUUACGGGUGGCGAGUGGCGGACGGGCGUGGAAUACAUCGGCAUCUACCUUUUCGAGGAGGAUAACGUAGGGGAACUUACGCUAAUACCGCAUACGACCUACGGGUGAGAGCAGGGGAACUUCGGACUUUGCGCGAUCGAAUGAGCCUAUGUCGGUUUAGCUAGUGGGCGGGGUAACGGCACACCUAGGCGGGGACCCGUAGCUGGACUGAGAGGAUGAUCGGCCACACUGGAGCUGGGACACGGUCAAGAGGCCUACGAGAGGCAGCAGUGGGGAAUAUGGGACAAUGGGGGGAAGCAUGAUGCAGCAAGGCGGCGUGGGUGAAGAAGGCCUUCGGUUUGUAAAGCCAUUGUGUUGGGAAUGAAAAGCAGUAGCAUAAGACAACGCUGUAAUGACGGUACCCGAAGAAGAAGCACCGGCUAACUUCGUG